GGUGACUACCACUUAGUACUGGCUUCAGUUCCAACAAAAAAAGUUCGAUGUUUGAGUCUAUGAUCAUAUUUUUAUUUUUAUAUUUAAAUAUGUUGGCGUUAUACGUAAUAAAUUAUAACAAAUCUAUAGCAAGUAUUAGAAACAGUAACGUGCCGCCGUAUGAAUAAUUGUCAGAGGUUUUGCGCAGUGCCACACCCAUUGAGUUUAGAAAUCGACAAGCAAAAACUAUGUCGUGCGCAGCCGCUGAAUCACAUUAUUAAUUAAACUAUACAUAGCCAUGACUACGCGAACUGGCGAAACGGAACCGCAGCUGCAGCAGCCGUUUUUUUAUCGAUCUCGUCGUUCUACGUUCUUCUAGAAUGUUCUAUACGGCGGCGGCCCUUCCACUUCGCGCACACUCACAAACGCCGCCGCCGCCGCCGUCAACAUCGCUGAUACCUACUGCUGCGUAGUUCAUUUGCGGUCCGCACUCUGAAGCUCUUGGACUGUGGUUGACCGUUCUCUUGCUGGUGCACCUAGAACAAAUAUGGCGGACGUUUUGUUACAGAAAUGGACGUCCGAAAACCGAAAACGACAUCCGCCCGGCCAUCACUCGGUGCGGGUGCAGAUCACUGGCCUCGGAGCUUUUGCUUUGUCACGCCCGGCUGACUGACGGACUCGAUUUUCUAUGAUAAUUUCAAAUGGUAUUGAAACCACUUAAACAGAAAGAAAUAUCAAACAGAUGACAAUAGUGAUCAAAGAUCUAAAAUGUUCAUCAUUUGACCAUAAAAAUGUCAGAGAAUAUACGUGCACCGCAAGGUGAAAUUUGAAUAUGUGCAUGCAGUCUCAAUAUGGUUAUCUAUGUUGUAAGUACGGAUCUUAUGCUUAAUUUAAGGUAAGUACAAACAUUACUUUAUUUUUAUACAAAAUUUGGAUUUUAUAAGAUACACUAUUUUCAGUAAAGAUAGAGGAGUGGGUUUUCAUUACACAAUUAUUUGACCAAUUGGAUUGGUAUAUAGUAUUGUGAAUCCAACAUCACGUCAUUAUUAUUAUUCAACCGUCAUUACACAAAGGUUGGAAAACUUACUCCACAGUUAAACCCUGAGUUAGGUUGUUAAUUCUAGGGUUUAUUAGAAGUUUAUUGUUUAUUCAUCGCCAUAAUUAUUAGCCAUGACCUGACCAGUGUUGAAGAUUUAUACUACUUCAACGCUUAACUAUUUAUAUGUUGACUAAAUCUUCGCUUGUCAAGAGUUUCUAAGAUUUUCCAAACCUCAUAUAUUAGAAGUUGGAGUUAAUAUUUCUAAUGGAUGGUCCUUAAGAUGAAGUGUUUAAAAUUGGAAAUGUGUUAAAACAUUUAGACACAGCUGGAUAUUUUUGUAUCUAUUACUUUGUAUUAGCAAAGAGGUUGGUGGAGUAACUGAUGAUCAACCCCUAAUCAACCCCAUCUAAGUUGCUGUAGACUCAGACGUGAAGUUAACUAGUGAAAAACAAACUAUACUACAAACUAUGAUUUUGGCUCUUUAGUCUAGAGCCCCUGUGGGCUUGAAGUUGUCAAUUUUUUUUUAUGUAACAAUUUAUUUUCAACACAAUUUUAAAUCUGUUUGCCUAGUGUUUAUCUAACAUGAGUGCCUUCGGUUUCUUUCAAACCCUAAAUGUAUUUAUUUGAAAAUAAUUGUAAACUAACAUAACUUGAUAGUAAUCAAUAAAUACACAACUAUUUGACUUUAUACUAUAUUAUGUAUCAAUAUAUCUAUAAUGUUGUCUAAAGGCAUAAUUAAUAUACUAUCUUAGUUCUGUUAACUACCUAUCUUCAAUUCUAAAAAAAUAAUAUACCUACACCUAAUAUA